UGAACGCUGGCGGCGUGCCUAAUACAUGCAAGUCGAACGAAUCUCUUCGGAGAUGAGUGGCGAACGGGUGAGUAAUACAUAGGUAACCUGCCCCUGUGCGGGGGAUAACAGGAGGAAACUCCUGCUAAUACCGCAUAGCCAUGAGCACCGCAUGGAGCUCAUGCCAAAUAUCCUUUCGGGGAUAGCGCAGGGAUGGACCUAUGGCGCAUUAGCUUGUUGGCGGGGCAACGGCCCACCAAGGCAACGAUGCGUAGCCGGCCUGAGAGGGCGGACGGCCACAUUGGGACUGAGACACGGCCCAGACUCCUACGGGAGGCAGCAGUAGGGAAUUUUCGGCAAUGGGGGAAACCCUGACCGAGCAACGCCGCGUGAGCGAAGAAGGCCUUCGGGUCGUAAAGCUCUGUUGUAAAGGAAGAACAGCGCAUACAGGAAAUGGUAUGCGAGUGACGGUACUUUACCAGAAAGCCACGGCUAACUACGUGCCAGCAGCCGCGGUAAUACGUAGGUGGCGAGCGUUAUCCGGAAUCAUUGGGCGUAAAGAGGGAGCAGGCGGCCGCAAGGGUCUGUGGUGAAAGACCGAAGCUAAACUUCGGUAAGCCAUGGAAACCGGGCGGCUAGAGUGCGGAAGAGGAUCGUGGAAUUCCAUGUGUAGCGGUGAAAUGCGUAGAUAUAUGGAGGAACACCAGUGGCGAAGGCGACGGUCUGGGCCGCAACUGACGCUCAUUCCCGAAAGCGUGGGGAGCAAAUAGGAUUAGAUACCCUAGUAGUCCACGCCGUAAACGAUGGUCACUAAGUGUCGGGGGUCAAACCCCGGUGCUGCAGUCAACGCAAUAAGUGACCCGCCUGAGUAGUACGUUCGCAAGAAUGAAACUCAAAGGAAUUGACGG
rnacentral:rRNA from 1 species